UGCUAAACCUUGUGGCUUUAUUGCC
rnacentral:piRNA from 1 species